CACUGUAAACCCUAAUGUUGUAAUUAAUAAAGAAAUCAAGUUAACAUAACUUCACAUUACUUAUAACACCAAGUUUUGCCAUCAAAACUUAAACAGGUGUGUUUAAAUUACUCAUUGGCAGUAAAAAUCUUUUGAAUUAAGAUUUUAAGUGUUAUUAACUCAGAAUUUCCAUUUAUUUAAAUUAUUCGCUACGUCUCUGUUUAAAAAUGAUUGGUCGCGCUUGAAAUUCUGCCUUGACAACAGCGCCGAUUGGCCAAUAUAACACAAGGCGGGAAUUUUUUGUCGAAUUUGCUGAAGACGCAGCACUGACUGCGGUUCACAAUCAUUUGCAGGAACACCUGAAAGAAGAAAUAAAUAAUACAGUUUAAAGUUAAAUAGCGGGCCAGCUGCACAAGCAGCCAGACAGGCGUUAAAGCAGGCGGGAAGAGAGUCGUCGUGAAAGACCCAGAGUACGCUGGGACAGUAACAUUAGCAGGCAGGUGGUUAUGAAGCAGACGAGGAGGGGGAAGAGUCGAGGCCACAGGAGUAACGUUAAGCUGGUAAAUUUUGCUUUAUUGUCUGCUAUGUUUUAUUUUAUUUUUUAUACAACUGGACUUAAGGUAUAAAUGCGUUUAAGUUAAAAUCCCCUAACUUCCAAACAUAGCCAAUGUUUUACAGACUAACUUAGCACUGUUGUUUACAAUAGACCUAACGUUAAGCGUGAUAUUGCGGCUCGAACUUCGAGAAAAAUCUAUUUCCAGACACUGAAAUGUCUCUUUGUGUAAUUUGUGAAAGGACGUUUCUUUUAUUUGGUGUAAAAUUGGGCUGCCGCGUGAAUACUGACUUAUGCCUAACGUUAAUCGUUAUAAGAAUUUAUUUGGCCGGUAUGUUACUAAAAACCGCAGACCUUUUCCUGCCUGCGACACAUUUACAGAGAUAUUAUUAAUUAAUGAAUAGUUAUGUGGAAUGAAAUUAUAUGAAAUGAUAGGUCUAUGCAAGAAACUAAACCUCAUAUAUUACCUUUAAUUCACAGCCUCUGCAAACAAAGCUGAAUUUGUUUACUACAGUCUGGAACACAAGCGUA